UUUUUUCGAUCACAUCAUUACAUCUCGUAUCUAAGGAAAAUGUUUCCUUAGUUACGAGUCCAAAAAGCGUACCAAAAUUAGACAAAAAUCAACACAUUUGCAGGCUACCUAGAGCAAAAGUGUGACUAGGAGUGUGUUUGUUGUUAAAAGUACAAAGUAAGGUUACCACUGCAAAUCAUAUAAAACAUUUUUAUCAGUGAUGAUGUUUUUUGUAAUACGUUGCUAUGGCAACAGGAAAAUGCAAAGGAAUUUAAAUUGGAAAUAUUAAGGAAUACGACCUGAUUUGUA
rnacentral:lncRNA from 1 species